UCCCAGCACUUUGGGAGGCCGAGGCAGGUGGAUCACGAGGUCAGGAAAUCGAGACCAUCCCGGCUAAAACGGUGAAACCCCGUCUCUACUAAAAAUACAAAAAAUUAGCCGGGCGUGGUGGCGGGCGCCUGUAGUCCCAGCUACUUGGGAGGCUGAGGCAGGAGAAUGGCGUGAACCCGGGAGGCGGAGCUUGCAGUGAGCUGAGAUCGCGCCACUGCACUCCAGCCUGGGCGACAGAGCGAGACUCCGUCUCAAAAAAAAAAAAAAAAAAAGAGGUUGGAUAAAUGUACUAUUGUCUAUACUGGAAUUUUAUGCUCGUGCUAAUAAAAAUGAGAUGGAUUUUUGCUUUAUGACAUGUACAAAUGAUCACAACAUAUUUUUAAGUGACAGGACAGUUAUGAACCUUUUUAUUGUUAAAGUAAUGCAUUUCUAAUUAUCAUACGUACUGUUAUAUACUAUUAUACACGCUCACACUAUAAACAAUUAUACAUACCUAUAUGGGUACUUACACACACACACACACACACACACACACAUCUUUCUAUCCCCAAAUCUGGGAGUGUGUCCGGAAUUGGUGGGUUCUUGGUCUCACUGACUUCAAGAAUGAAGCCGCGGACGCUCGCGGUGAGUGUUACAGCUCUUAACGUGGCGCGUCUGGAGUUUGUUCCUUCUGAUGUUCGGAUGUGUUGGGAGUUUCUUUCUUCUUGUGGGUUCGUGGUCUCGCUGGCUCAGGAGUGAAGCUGGAGACCUUCGCGGUGAGUGUUACAGCUCUUAAGGCAGCAUGUCUGGAGUUGUUCGUUCCUCCUGGGGGGCUCGUGGUCUCGCUGGCUUCAGGAGUGAAGCUGCAGAUCUUCGCGGUGAGUGUUACAGCUCAUAAAAGCAGUGUGGACCCAAAGAGUGAGCAGUAGCAAGAUUUAUUGCAAAGCGCGAAAGAACAAAGCUUCCACAGUGUGGAAGGGGACCCGAGCGGGUUGCCACUGUUGGCUAGGGCAGUCUGCUUUUAUUCUCUUAUCUGGCCCCACGCACAUCCUGCUGAUUGGUAGAGCCCAGUGGUCUGUUUUGACAGGGCGCUGAUUGGUGCGUUUACAAUCCCUGAGCUAGAUAUAAAGGUUCUCCACGUCCCCAUCAGGUUAGUUAGAUACAGAGUAUGGACACAAAGGUUCUCCAAGGCCCCACCAGAGUAGCUAGAUACAGAGUGUCAAUUGGUGCAUUCACAAACCUUGAGCUAAACGCAGGGUGCUGAUUGGUGUGUUUACAAACCUUGAGUUAGACACAGAGUGCCGAUUGGUGUAUUUACAAUCCCUGAGCUAGACAUAAAGGUUCUCCAAGGACCCACCAGAGUAGCUAGAUAUAGAGUGUCAAUUGGUGUAUUUAUAAUCUCUGAGCUAGACACAGGGUGCUGAUUGGUGUAUUUACAAUCCCUGAGCUAGACAUAAAGGUUCACCAUGUCCUCACCAGAGCAGC
rnacentral:lncRNA from 1 species